rnacentral:rRNA from 1 species
UACGUAGGGUGCAAGCGUUAAUCGGAAUUACUGGGCGUAAAGCGUGCGCAGGCGGUGAUGUAAGACAGAUGUGAAAUCCCCGGGCUCAACCUGGGAACUGCAUUUGUGACUGCAUCGCUGGAGUACGGCAGAGGGGGAUGGAAUUCCGCGUGUAGCAGUGAAAUGCGUAGAUAUGCGGAGGAACACCGAUGGCGAAGGCAAUCCCCUGGGCCUGUACUGACGCUCAUGCACGAAAGCGUGGGGAGCAAACGGG